UUCCGGUUGAUCCUGCCGGAGGCCAUUGCUAUCGGAAUCCGAUUUAGCCAUGCUAGUCGCACGGGUUAGACCCGUGGCGAACAGCUCAGUAACACGUGGCCAAACUACCCUGUGGACGGGGAUAAUCUCGGGAAACUGAGGCUAAUCCCCGAUAGGGCUUCCAUCCUGGAGUGGGGGAAGUCCGAAAGUUGCGCUGCGGCACCACAGGAUGUGGCUGCGGCCGAUUAGGUAGACGGUGGGGUAACGGCCCACCGUGCCAGUAAUCGGUACGGGUGAUGAGAGUCAGAGCCCGGAGACGGUAUCUGAGACAAGAUACCGGGCCCUACGGGGCGCAGCAGGCGCGAAACCUUUACACUGCACGACAGUGCGAUAGGGGGAUUCCGAGUGCGAGGGCAUACAGUCCUCGCUUUUCUGGAUCGUAAGGAGAUGCAAGAAUAAGGGCUGGGCAAGACCGGUGCCAGCCGCCGCGGUAAUACCGGCAGCCCGAGUGAUGGCCGAUAUUAUUGGGCCUAAAGCGUUCGUAGCCGGCCAGUCAAGUCUGUUGGGAAAUCCACGCGCUCAACGCGUGGGCGUCCAGCGGAAACUGACUGGCUUGGGGCCGGAGGACUCGAGGGGUACGUCCGGGGUAGGAGUGAAAUCCCGUAAUCCUGGACGGACCACCGGUGGCGAAAGCGCCUCGAGAGGACGGACCCGACGGUGAGGAACGAAAGCCAGGGUCUCGAACCGGAUUAGAUACCCGGGUAGUCCUGGCCGUAAACGAUGUCUGCUAGGUGUGGC
rnacentral:rRNA from 1 species